rfam:Camponotus floridanus CamFlo_1.0_1.contig7770, whole genome shotgun sequence.
AAGGAGGGUUUUAGUGGGUAGGUGUAGACCUAACCUCCAUGGAGCCUUAACAUCUUACGGCCCAAAGGUCUGCAAAUCCCACACUCCCCCGAGAACAUCUUCGGGGGGUCUUACGAAGAUUUCCCUACCUU